UACGUAGGGGGCAAGCGUUGUUCGGAAUUAUUGGGCGUAAAGGGCGCGUAGGCGGCCAUGCGUGUCUUCCGUGAAAUCCCUCGGCUUAACCGAGGACGUGCGGAAGAAACUGCAAGGCUCGAGUCCGGAAGAGGGGGGCGGAAUUCCAGGUGUAGCGGUGAAAUGCGUAGAUAUCUGGAGGAACACCGGUGGCGAAGGCGGCAUCCUGGACCGAUACUGACGCUGAGGAGCGAAAGCCAGGGGAGCAAACGGG
rnacentral:rRNA from 1 species